rnacentral:lncRNA from 1 species
UCAAAGCUACCAAACCUGCAUUAACAACGUUCUGCAUAAUCAAAACCAUUUUUUUAACCUGCAUAAAAAUCCUGCAAAAAAAAGAACGAUAACAAAAUCGCCAAACGAAAUCCAUAAUAGAAAAAACUAACUUCUAAGCUCAUUCUCAUCACUCUAUAAAUACAAACCUUCACUCUUCACCUAAAUGGAUUUUUUUCGUCUUCAUUCACUCUCUCAACAUCACCUUCAUCAUCUUCUUCAAUAAGUUUCUUUCCCUAACCGCGCCAUUCUUCCUCCACCGUCAACACCGCUUCAACCACCGUGAACUCAAUCCUAAUAACAGAGUAACAAAUCAUAAUCACGCCUGCAGAAUGCUCAAUAAAUCCACAAAAAUUGCAAUAAGAGGACGAAAAUACAUAUAGCAGAAGGAGAGGAUAGCAUAUUGAACAAAAAGCACGAAGGGAGAAAGAGAAGCUCGCGUUCUUCAUCGGCUCGGUGCGAUCUCGGUUGAAGGUAGGUGCUAUUUGGAUUCGAAUUCGAAUUCGGUGUUGCUCUCGUAGUGUUUCCCAGGCAUUCCUCCUCCAUAGGAGGAUCGGAUUUUGGAUCGAUUGGUUUACAUUUCGCAGGAUAUUCCGAUUCGAUUCAGUAGGAAUUAAAAGGGAUUAGUGUUAGAUUUAGGAGUUGAUAAUUUGAGUUGGUGAAGGAGAGGUAAGUGCAAACAUGCUAGAUGGUUCCUAUGGAUUAACAUGGAUGUGAGGGGUACUAAUACCUUCCCCUUGCAUAACCGGCUUCCGAACUUGUUCGUGGUUGCGAUGACCACUCUUUGGGGUUUUCUCGAUAUUUUCCCAUUCCUUUGGAAUAAAUAAAAACCGAUGGUGACUGUAUUUUUCGCGUAGCGGCAACUGAUGACUCUGUUGGGGAUACCUUUCUAAGCAAGUUAAGCCUAAGCUAGGUUGAUUCCUCGCGUGUAUGGGUGCUUAUCCUUUUGAUAUUGCUUGCCUUAUUUGUCGCCUUGUGCUUUAAAUUUUGUAAUCUAUUAUGUGGUUCCACGAUUCAAUGGUAGUGAUGGAUGGUACUCCGGUUGCAAGAAGCCUUGUGGGAAAGACUCUCUACCCGAGUCUAGAGUGCAAACUUGAUAUAGGAGACUUUGAGUAGUAUGGGCCACUGAGGAGAUUUUCUCGUAAGGGUCGAUACAAGAAGCUCGCUUAGAGUAGAUUCUUUUGGAGAUGUUGACGACUAUCAAGCUUUUGACGUAAGCGAUCAAUGUUUUCAUUAGGAUCCAUGACUCUAAGGACCUUCAUAGAACAUUGAACCAUGACCAAUUAAGGUUGAUGGUCACGUAGUACGGGUCCCCGAGAAGCUUUUCUCGCGAGGGUCGGUACGAAGAUCUCACUCAAAGUAGAUUUUCUUGAUGGAUUUGUUGAUCGACAAGCUUUUGUCGUAAGCGGCAAACAGUCAAGGAGGUCCGUGACUUUGAGACCCUUGUCUAGAACCCGAUGUUGAUGGUCGCGUAGUAUGGGUCCCCGAGAAGCCUUUCUCGUGUGGGUCGGUACGAAGAUCUCACCCAGAAGAGGCUCAUUUGAGAGAGUUGAUGACCGACAAGCUUUUGCCGUAAGUGCCAAACAGCCAAAUGAAUCAAUGACUCUAGGGUCCCUAUCUAUAACCCUAGACUACGACCGAUGAGAUCCCUGAUUUGGAAGGCAACCAAUGUUAUCCUCCAUCCGAACCUCGAACUUUUGAAUCCAUGUGCCUGAAUGCCGUUCAUUCAUUCAUUCAUACAUUAAAACAAAAAAUUCGCAUGCAUCCAUACAUCAUUUUGCAUAUCAUUUUCCAAACCAUAACAAAGAAGCUCACCCAUCCUUUGUCCAUAAUCUGUAGUUGAUUUCCCGACACUCAUAUUGGACUUGAAAGAUCAUGGAGCAAAACCAGUUUGCAUCUAAGGCGGAUGUUGAUUUGAUAAAGAACCAGUUGGACCAACUUGUGGAAGCUAUGACAUCCUUGACAAGGAGAGAUGAAAACAUUCAACGGAAUCUAGUCACUGAGAAUGUCAUUCCACCUCAAGUGAACAAUCUUGCUCAAGCUCAGCCUGUGCAGAUCCCUGUGGAGGACCAGAUUAUACAAGAGCGUCUCAUUAUCCAAGACGGACACUCAUCUUGUGAUGCUAUUGAGUAUCAUAGUUUCGCAUUCUCUACACAAAAUUCCCAAGGGGAAGUCCUAGUGAUGAAAAUCAAAGAUCCAUGAGAUGUGGCGGUUGCUGAAAGAUUUCAGGUGUUAGAAGAGAAGCUUAAAGCCAUAGAGAGGCAUGAUGCUUUCGGUCUGAAUGCUUUAGACAUGUGUUUAUUGCCUGGCCUGAUAAUGCCUCCAAAGUUCAAGACACCGGAUUUCGAAAAGUACAAAGGGGAUAGUUGUCCAAAGAAAUAUUUGGUGAUGUUUUGCAGAAAUAUGACUUCCUAUGCUCACAAUGAUGAGCUGAUGAUUCAUUAUUUUCAGGACAGUCUGAGUGGAGCAUCAUUGAGUUGGUACAUGCAGCUAGAAAAGUGUUACAUCCAAUCAUGGUUAGACCUGGCCAACGCCUUUUUGAAGCAAUACGGAUACAAUUUGGAUAUGGCUCCCAAUUGUAUGCAGUUGCAAAGUUUAUCUCAGGAAAGCAACAAAUCCUUCAUAGGAUAUGCCCAAAGAUGGAGAGAGUUAGCCGCUCAAGUUCAACCAUCACUUUUGGAGAAAGAAUUGGUUGAUUUGCUCACGGAUACCUUGCAAGGUCCGUACUACGAAAAGAUGAUAGGUAGUACUUCACCUAAUUUUUCACGCUUGGUAUCAACUGGAAUACGCAUCAAGAGCAUGCUCAAAAGGGGAAAGACCCAAGACGUCUCGAACAUCCAGGCUAGUGAGAGUGAAUCCCUCGUCGGCUCCCAGGAACAAGGGGAGAUGGAAAUUAAUGCAAUCUGGGAAGCCCCACAAGCUGCAUAUCAGAUGCCACUCCCUUCGCAUGGUCAAUCCCCUCGUGAAAACCGAGGAUCUCCUUGGAAUCAAUGACAAGAUCCGCAUCAGCAGCGUCAACACACUCGACAAAAGCCAAGGAAGCUAGUAAGGCAUUUUGAUCCACUUACAAUGCCGUACAGUCAAGUACUAUCGUAUUCGAUCAAAGAUGGAUUGAUAGUGCCGAAGGAACUGCGUCUAGUGAUUCCUCCAUACCCACCAGGCUUUGACGUCAAUGCCUGAUGUGACUUCCAUGCUGGGGCAUUCAACUGAAGACUGUAAAGUGUUGAAAAGCCAGGUAUAGAAAUUCCUCGACUCUAAGAUGUUCUCAUUUGUGCCUCGAGGUCUUCAAAUCAACAACAAUCCUUCGCCUAGUCAUUAAGGUCCAUCAGUGCAUGAUAUUCCUCAUAUUGGUCUCGACGAGUAACUAUGAAGAAGACUAGUCUGACAACAAAGCAAAAGAGGAAAACCUGAUUCCCCAACAUUGGCAAUCCUUAAAUCACAUCAUUACUUUGCAUUUGUAGUUUCUUUGUUGUUAAGUGCUACUUGCUUUAGAACAUUGUUGUUUAUAAAUGGUGGUAUUAAUAAAAUGAGCAUGCAUGUUUUGAACGAGUCCAUUCGUAUUCACUCAUCUUUUCUCAUUUAUUUUCAAAAAAUCACAAAAAUAUCUUUCCAUUUGCUUUAUUAAACUAUUGUUUUAGAGAAUAUUGGAGGGAGGAUGACGAAAACAAGAUAACCAUAAUUGCUGAUGGUAUGCUUUCAGAUAAAACCUUGCUGAUGAUGUACAUACAUUGUUUCAAAUCCCCAAACACUCGAGAGAUAAGGAGUUAAUCCCUAGUUAACCGCUUCGAGCCUGGAAGUAGGUGCUUCUUUCGGAUCUGAAAACCCUUACGCUUAACCAGGGGCAGGAUAGUGUUUGGUUGAUUCGGCUAUGCAUUUGGAUUACAAGAUGAAAUAUCCCGUCUAGGGAUCAAUCACAUGAUGCUCUUCGCACACGUUCCGAAGUGUUGAAUCCAAAAACUAUGAUGUUGGUUCUUCAACAACCAAUGACUUGGUAGUCAUAACCCUUCAGAAAACUUGGAAAAAAAAGGAGAAAGCAAAAGCAAAAACCCGCUAAGUCGGACCCCCAAAGGGGUGACUUAGGCAAAAAUUAGGGUAAUCCUGGUGGACCAAAACUUCGAAAAAAUGGUCCAGGCAAAAAUUAGGGAAAAACAAAAACAAAAAAAUCAAAAGAGGUCGUUAAAUCCUCAAUAAAAGACAAAGCAAGAUUCGGUGACCACUAUAUCAGGAAUCCAAAGGUCACCGACAUCCGUGAAAAAUAAGGUGACUGCCAUUUCAAGCGAACCUUAAAUCAUCAUCUUCAUUCUUACAUCAUCAAACUCUCUUGGAGGACGAAUGGUAUGUUGAAUUAUCUAAAUGUAGGACAUGAGAACAUCACGAAGAAGAGGUGGGUUAAAAUCAAAUUUGAGCCUUAUAUCCUUUGUUUCAAUAACCGUGAACCAGGCCAUGUUACAACCCUAAAAAAACCUAAUUGAAGCAGGGUUUAUUCUGAAAAGCACACUACAUCAAGGUUGCGUAAACCGACUCCUAGAUAUUUUGCUAAUCUUUCGUGUUGAAAUCGUAUUUUCAAUGCAUCUUUCACAUUAGCCAAAUCAACAUUACGUUUGGACUAAUGGUCCAUUUGUCACUUGUCAUUACAAUAAUCUCAAAUAAAUGAUUCUUUUUAAAACUUGCAUGAAUGUCACAUUAAAAUUACCAUUUUUAAAUGAAAAUUUUUAACUGCAAGUUAGUGCUUGACAUCAAUGAAAUUCCAAGGACCGGUUAGAGAGGAGCUUGAACAUUCGUCGAGGCCGAGGCUAUCCCGAAUCGAGACCAUCUCAUAACCCUAGGGAGCUGGGGCAUGGCAUCUAGUGACUGUGUUGAUUUAAGAGUUGGAUAGUCCGAAGCAAAUCUCCAAGCAUCGGUUGAUCAAGGAGACAAAUCAUCAAUACCCAGUUAAUCCGGGGAAAUUCCCUCAAGGGCUCACGCAAGAGCAGACCACUGCAAAUUCACAAACUGGGGAAAAUCAUCUCAGACCAUACCAUGGUAUAAUCCCCCAAGGUUCCUUUUCAAGGAAGAUUCCUUGGAAUACCCUACAAACUGGGGCAGAGCCAGAGCAUAAUCAUCAUGCAUUGUUUACGUCGCUACGCUCAUGCAAUCAUUUGCAAGCCGUCGUGGCAUAUCAGGCAAAGAAGUUGAAGUUCUCUUGGGAACAAAGAUACAACUUCAACUGAGGAUCAAACUUGGGGCACCAAGAGCAUCCGUAUCUAUCCUCCGAUCAUAACAUCUUCAAAUAUCGAGUGUCGGGAAGUCGAAUCCUUUCCCAAACCACAAGUCCAAUCCAUAUUGGCAACUACCAAAAAACCAAAGUCCACUUUGUUGGCAUCAUCACCAAUUCAAAUCCAAUUGAUAUUAGUAUCCAAAAGAUCUCACCUUCAGAAAGAAAGACCAAUCCAAAAACUAAUCACCAGCUCGCAUUUCCAAAUGCAUUGCAUACAACAUACAUGCAUACUUUCCUGUCGAGGUAGGAAAUUCCAUAUCAAAAAAGGAGUUCUCUCGCCGAGACGAGAAGUUUGCAUCAAAUUAACACGCAUCAUAUGCAUACAAAAUCAAACAUUUUCCAUCAACCCUUUGAUGGUGACUAUCUUCCAUCAACCCUUUGAUGAUGUCAUCAACCCUUUGAUGAUGAUAUUACCUAAGCACCUUUUCCAUCAACUCUUUAAUGACGAGAUUCCACUUUCCAUCAACCCUUUGAUGGAGGUAUUCCAUUUUGUCAACCCUUUGACGAUGCCAAAUUAUUUUCCCAUCAAAUCUUUGAUGACGACAAUCCUUUCCCAUCAACUCUUUGAUGACGACAAUCCUUUCCCAUUAACUCUUUGAUGACGAUAGUCCUUCCAUCAACCCUUUGAUGAUGCCGUCAACCCUUUGAUGAUGAUAUUAAUUAGACACCCUUUUUCAUCAACCCUUUGAUGAAGACAUUCCUUUUGCAUCAACCUUUUGACAAGGUUCUUGUUCGUCAACCCUGUGACGAUGACAGUCCAUUUUCCAUCAACUCUUUGAAGACGACACUCCCUUUUUCAUCAACUCUUUGAUGACGACAAUCCUUUCCCAUCAACUCUUUGAUGAUGAUAAUAUUUCCAUCAACCCUUUGAUGACACCGUCAACCCUUUGAUGACGAUAUUACUUAAACACCCUUUUUCAUUUUUGAUGACGACAGUCCUUUCAUCAACCCUUUGAUGACGCCGUCAACCCUUUGAUGAUGACAAUUGUUGGCUCAUCAACCCUUUGAUGAUGACCUUCCUUUUCAGUCAACUCUUUGAAGAGGACAAUUGUUAUUUCAUAAACCUUUAAAGACAUAUCCCCAUAAAAGGCCUUACGAAAAGUCCAACCACACUUGGUGUACCCAAAUACAUCCUGUUGCAUAAACUGCAUCAGUAUCUCGCAUAAAUAAUCAUGCAUUACAUCGCAUCGCACCAUAAAGCGCGUAGCACAUUCCAUCAAGGAGGAGCAUUACACCAUGCAAGAUAAAUAUGCAUAACUGCAUAAAAGUCUUUCUCGAAAGCAUAAAAGAAUCCUCCGUUGAGACAUUCUCCCUCCCCAGUGAGAAUAUUAUCAAGAAACCAUGGAAUGGUAUUCCCCGCAGGUUUUUCGAGAUAUCUCUUUUGUGUUUCCUUUUGCAGAUAUCCUGGGAAUCUUCAACCAGACGCUUACCUUUCGUAAGUGGUCCCCUUCCUUUUGCAUGGGAGGUCCCUCUUUUCCUCUUUCUAUACUCGUCUGUAUUGAUCUUCGACACUCGUCCGUGUUGAUCAUUUCAUUUUCAAUACUCGUCCGUAUUGAUCUCCAGCACUCAUCCGUGUUAUUAUCUUUCUUAAUACUCGUCCAUAUUGAUCUUCAACACUCGUCUGUGUUGGUCUUGAUCUUCAACAUUCGUCUGUGUUGAUUUUCUCUUUCAAUAAUCGUCUAUAUUGAGUGGCAACACUCAUCCGUGUUGACCCCUCCUUCUAAAAUCUUUCUUCAACGCUUGUCCGUGUUGGUCCUUUUUCAAUACUCGUCUGUAUUGGGCAUCGACACUCGUCUGUGUUGGUCCUUUUUCAACACACGUCCUUAUUGACCUUCAACACUCGUCCGUGUUGGUCUUCUUUUUCAAUACUCAUUCGUAUUGAUCCCCAAUGAAUUCGCCAUAUUUUGACACUCGUCCGUGUUGGCCUUCUUUCGAUACUCGUCCGUAUUGAUCUUAACACCCGUCCUUGUUGAUACCUUUUGUUUCUAUACUCGGUUAUUGUGAUCCUUAACGCUUGUCUGUGUUGAUCUUUUAUACUCGUCUGUAUCUAGAUCACAACAUUCGUUUGUGUUAUCCUUUUUCUAACACUCGUUUGUGUUGAUCUCAACGCUCGCCCGUGUUGAUUAAAUCGCUCUCGAUACUCAUUCAUAUUGGUAUCCCUCACUCGUCUAUGUGGACCUUAAAUCUCCUUCUUAACCUUUUGUUAAGGGAUUCUCAUCACCUUUUGUGUGAGAAAUCAUUCCACCUUUUUGUUAACGGUAUCUAGAAAUCUCCAACUCUCUUGCUAAGAAGUUGUUGCUGUCUGUUACGAGAGAAAGUCGCUUCUCAGUUGAGCUACUUGCCUUUAGCAAGAUGGCUCUUUGCCUUUUUAAAGGUAUCUCAUUCCAAUUCUUUUAACUCUGGUACUUGCCUUUCGCAAACACCUCUUUUACCUUCGUGAGAUCCUACGGGAAUACCUCGAUUAUCAAUCUCAAGCCAAAACUCGUUAGUGGAGGCAAAACAAGACAAAGAAUGAAAAAAUAGAGAAAGACACAAAAAAGAGAUCAACGUACAUAACGUGUCGCAUAUAACAUGCAUGACUUUAUAAAGAAUCUCAUUGAAUAACUUUCCAUGAACACCUUGACCUACAUCUCAUUCAUUUCAUUCAUUCUCUACAGGAAAAUUUCUUGGUUAUUUUAGUAUUUAAUCCUCCCCUACCAUGAAUGUUUGAAAGCAGUUGCUAUUCAAACCUUCAGGUCCGAGAAGAUUAAAUAGGGGAAGUUGUCAUACCCCAAAAUUUUCCCUCCUUUUCGCUUUUUCAUCUGACUAUAACUUGAUAUCCGUCUAAUCUCAUUCAUACUCAUUCAUGUGCAUUCAUUCAUUCAUGAUCGAUGUUUGCUGAUAGGUAUCAGGGAUUCAGGGUUUGUGGUUGAUAAAAUCGGAGUUGGGUUGAAGUUUAGGGCAUUUCACAUCAUAUGGAUCAAAAUCCUAAUUCAUGACUUUGAUAGUUAAAGAUCUUAUGUAUGAAUUGUCGAUUGCUCGAUAUUCAUCUUGUUUGAUUCAUGGCAUUGGCACAAGUCGUUGGUUCAGGAUGUUGUGGUCCAUAUUCGUUUGUCCAUGAGAAAAUACACAUUUUUGAUCAAUUGUUGACUUUUUGGUCAACCAGUUUACCAAAGACAACCAUCAACCUCUGAAUUUUUAAUCAUGUGAUCCGUAAUCAUUCCAUCAAUUUCGAAUUAAUUCAGAAAGUUUGGGUGGAUUUUAAAGGUUCAAAUUGAAUUUUAAUUCAAAGCUUGGUCCUUGAGAUUCAAAUCGACUUUUGAGAAUUAUUUUGAUUUCAUAACCAUUUCAUAAUUUUCUUUAGCCAAUUAAAUUUUAGAAAACAUUGUUUUAAUUACAAAUUAAUUUUGACCUUUCUUUUGUUAUUAAAAUUCCUUGAUUUUUAUUAGCAAAUCCAUUUAAAUCCAUUAACUCAUGUCAAUUUCCACAAAUCCAUUUAGAUCCAUUAACCAAAAAAACAAAUAUCCAAUUCAUACUAAUUAUUCAAUAUCCAUUUAUCUAACCCAUCUAUUCAAGACCAUAUCCACUUUUAUUUUAUUUUAAAUCCAAUCCAUUAUUAUCCACAAUUCCCAUUUCAAAUCCAAUCCAAAACCAUAUCCAAUUUUAAUCCAACAAUCCAUUUCAUAAUCAAUUGACAACCAUAAUGUUAAACCAUUUACAUUUAUAAAUCACUUAAAUCCACUUGAUAAAAUCCAUUUACCAUAUCCAAUAACAUCCAAUACAAGAAAAUGAAACAAAAUGGAAAAAAGGGCAGUGGUAAUUGAAAAAAGUUGCAGCCAAAACCUGAUAUAGCCCGUUCAUAAGCUAACGAAGCACAAACUGCCACUCACACCAUUAAGCCAAACUCCAAACGCUGCAAGAAACGAUAAGCCACCUGCAAAAGAAAGAAAAACGCAUUUGCUAAAGAAGCUAAACGGCGCCAAACCAAAACUGAUAAGUGCUUCCAAAAACUGCAGCAUCAAUAACAACAACACUAGCCAUCCCAGCUACAAACCAAGCGUCGGUAAACGCAGCUAACAUCAAACUGCACAACAACAAAGUUGCAGUGAAAAAAAGCAGAAACGGCGACGGAAACAACGCAACACAACUACAAUAAAACUCAAAGCUACCGCCAAACACCGACAAAACAAUGUAGCAAACCAAAAACAAAGCUGAAAUGCAGAAAACAAAUGCUUGCCAAACCUACCCAAACACCGACAAUGUAAAUCAACCACCACCAAAAAGCUGCUACGGCUCAAAGCUACCAAACCUGCAUUAACAAAGUUCUGCAUAUCAAAACCAUUUAUUUAACCUGCAUAAAAAUCCUGCAAAAAAAAGAACGAUAACAAAAUCGCCAAACGAAAUCCAUAACAGAAAAAACUAACUUCUAACCUCACUCUCAUCACUCUAUAAAUACAAACCUUCACUCUUCAUCUAAACGGUUUUUUUUCAUCUUCAUUCACUCUCUCAACAUCACCUUCAUCAUCUUCUUCAAUCAGUUUCUUUCCCUAACCGCAUCAUUCUUCCACCACCGUCAACACCGCUUCAACCACCGUGAACUCAAUCCUAAUAACAGAGUAACGAAUCACAAUCACGUCUGCAGAACGCUCAACAAAUCCACAGAAAUUGCAAUAAUAGGACAAAAAUACAUAUAGAAGAAGGAGAGGAGAGCAUAUUGAAGAAAAAGCACGAAGGGAGAAAAAGAAGCCCACGUUCUUCAUCGACUCGGUGCGAUCUUGGUCGAAGGUAGGUGCUAUUUGGAUUCGAAUUCGGUGUUGCUCUCGUAGUGUUUCCCAGGCAUUCCUCCUCCAUAGGAGGAUAGGAUUUUGGAUCGAUUGGUUUAUAUUUCGUAGGAUAUUUCGAUUCGAUUUGGUAGGAAUUAAAAGGGAUUAGUGUUAUAUUUAGGAGUUGAUAAUUUGAGUUGGUGAAGGAGAGGUAAGCGUAAACAUGCUAGAUGGUUCCCAGGGAUUAACAUGGAUGUGAGGGGUACUAAUACCUUCCCCUUGCAUAACCGACUUCCGAACUUGUUCGUGGUUGCGAUGACCAUUCUUUGGGGUUUUCUCGAUAUUUUCCCAUUCCUUUGGAAUAAAUAAAAAUCGAUGGUGACUCUGUAUUUUUUUCGUAGCGACAGCUGACGACUUUGCUGGGGAUACCUUCCUAAGCAAGUCAAGCCUAAUCUAGGUUGAUUCCUCGCGUGUAUGGGUGCUUAUCCUUUUGAUAUUGCUUGCCUUAUUUGUCGCCUUGUGCUUUAAAUUUUGUAAUCUAUUAUGUGGUUCCACGAUUCGAUGGUAGUGAUGGAUGGUACUUCGAUUGCAAGAAGCCUUGUGGGAAAGACUCUCUACCCGAGUCUAUAGUGCAAACUUGAGAUAGGAGAGGUUGAGUAGUAUGGGCCACUGAGGAGAUUUUCUCGUAAGGGUUGAUACGAGAACCUCGCUUAGAGUAGAUUCUUUUGGAGAUUUUGACGGCCGUCAAGCUUUUGACGUAAGCGAUCAAUGUUUUCAUUAGGAUCCAUGACUCUAAAGACCUUUAUAGAACAUUAAACCUUGACCAAUUAAGAUUGAUGGUCACGUAGUACGGGUCCCCGAGAAGCUUUUCUCGUGAGGGUUGGUACGAAGAUCUCACUCAAAGUAGAUUUUCUUGAUGGAGUUGUCGAUCGGAAAACUUUUGCUGUAAGCGGCAAACAGUCAAGGAGGUUCGUGACUUUGAGACCUUUGUCUAGAACCCGAUGUCGAUGGUCGCGUAGUAUGGGUCCCCGAGAAGCCUUUCUCGUGUGGAUCGGUACGAAGAUCUCACCCAGAAGAGGCUCAUUUGAGGGAGUUAACGACCGACAAGCUUUUUUUGUAAGCUGCUAAACCCGUUCAUAAGCUAACGAAGCACAAGCUACCACUCACACCAUUAAGCCAAACUCCAAACGCUGCAAGAAACGAUGAGCCACCUGCAAAAGAAAGAAAAACUUGUCUGCUAAAGAAGCUAAACGACGCCGAGCCAAAACUGAUAAGUGCUUCCAAAAACUACAGCAUUAAUAAUAACAACACUAGCCAUCGCAGCUACAAACCAAGUGCCGGUAAACGCAACUAACACCAAACUUCACAACAAUAAUUUUGCAGUGAAAAAAGCAGAAAUGACGACGGAAACAACGCAACACAGCUAUAAUAAAACUCAAAGCUACCGCCAAACACCGACAAAAUAAUGUAGUAAACCAAAAACACAGCUGAAAUGUAGAAAACCAACGCUAGCCAAGCCUACCCAAACGCCGACAAUGUAGAUAAACCACCACCAAAAAGCUGCUACGGCUCAAAGCUACCAAACCUGCAUUAACAAAGUUCUGCAUAAUCAAAACCAUUUUUUAACCUGCAGAAAAAAGAACGAUAACAAAAUUGCCAAACGAAAUCCAUAACAGAAAAAAAUAACUUUUAACCUCACUCUCAUCACUCUAUAAAUACAAACCUUUACUCUUCAUCCAAAGGGAUUUUUUUCGUCUUCAUUCGCUCUCUCAACAUCACCUUCAUCAUCUUCUUCAAUCAGUUUCUUUCCCUAACCG